GAUGAGAUGCCUGAUUUUAAAAGGUUUAUCUUGAUAGGAUAAUUCAUGUGUAUAUUCACUCUCAUUA
rnacentral:tRNA from 1 species